GGGUGCUUGAGGCUAACUGUCUCAGGUAUGACCGAAAGGCAGAUAGAUAAAAGCCCCAAGUGACUUUAACAUCAACUUGAGGCCCCUAUAUGCUCGACACAUGUAGAGUAGCCUCUUACCGACCUUUGGGUCAAGGAGAAGCAGGCUAUGAAG
rnacentral:antisense_RNA from 1 species